rnacentral:rRNA from 1 species
AGGACGAACGCUGGCGGCGUGCUUAACACAUGCAAGUCGAGCGGUAAGGCCCUUUCGGGGGUACACGAGCGGCGAACGGGUGAGUAACACGUGAGCAAUCUGCCCUUCACUUCGGGAUAAGCCUCGGAAACGGGGUCUAAUACCGGAUAUGACCGCGCUACGCAUGUGGUGUGGUGGAAAGUUCUGGCGGUGGAGGAUGAGCUCGCGGCCUAUCAGCUUGUUGGUGGGUAAUGGCCUACCAAGGCUUCGACGGGUAGCCGGCCUGAGACGGGUCGACCGGCCGACGACGUGGGACUGGACGACACGGCCCAGACUCCACGGGAGCAGCAGUGGGAAUAUGGACAAUGGGACGAAAGCCUGAUCAGGCAACGCGCGUGACGGGAUGACGGCCGUUCGGGUUUACGUAAACCGUCUUUACCAGGCCGCCGAACGAA